ACGUAGCCCGUUUUAAUUAUGUGAUGGAAAAUAGAUGAUAACCAUUUAUUUAUACUCUGCUUCAUGUAUGUUGGUUUGCGUGUUCUUUUUUUUAUCACUCUUCUACUCCAUUUGACAGAAGCAUGACCCUCUCUCAAACAGGCCAAAUAGAAACAAAAAUAUUUAAUCGGCUGAUCUCACAGACGGCUUCUUAUUGCUGCCUUCAUCGCGGAGCUGGUGAUUUGGUCUUUUUCGCUGAACCGGCCAUUAGGGCGGCCGCGCGUUGUGCGUGCGGCAUUCCGCUCUUUUUCGGUUUGGCCAGCGAUCCAGUCCAAGCACUAAUAAAGCAAUUAUCUUGUUACAAUAAAAAAUAAUUUAAUUAGAGCUUUCGUCGUCAUGGCUGCGGCGGCGGCGGCAGCGGCCGGCUACCUCCGUGUUCGGCGGGCACAAAAUAAUAAUAACAGAAGCAGCAGCAGCAGCAGAGGCCUAUCGGAAUAACCCGGGCUGCGCUUGCAAGCAACAGGACGGGAAUUUUUUCCUCGGCGCGCUCGCGGAUACCCAAUUAUGGAAGUUUAGCAGAGGAAAGAACAACGAGAGAGAAGAAAAGAAUUUUCGCUUGUCAAUGUUGGUGGUCGCGCGGAUAAUUUUUGCGUCCCAGCGCGCCGCGCCGCGCGCACUCUCGCAUUAUAUAUGUACACACCACACACACGCACCCUGCUAUUUUUUAUUUAAAGGCGCAUUUUACAAACUAUACACGGUAAAACAUGGUGUCCGUUUAAACCCGUCGCUCGCUACCGACGAUACGUAUUUUGUACAUUUGCCAUUAAGUGUACUCUCUUUUUUGGCAUAAUUAAGGGGUUUAAUUGCGGCAAGACCGCUAGAUAUUUUUCAACUCUAUUUUCUGCGCGGCUAUCUUGAUCCCAAGCUUUAAAGAAAAUUUGAGUUUCUACGUAACACUUUUCAAAUUACUUAAAAAUAUGCAGUCUUUAUGACGUGUAAUUUUGGUUUCCGCGAAAGUCAGGCACUAUGAUCCCGACGAGAUAACAAAAUUUGCUCAAAAGAAAAAAAAUAGGUAAAGGUAUUAUAGUUGUAGUCGGCCUCUGAAUUCAUUAAUUAACUGCCAAGGAUCGCGGAAAAUUCAUGUAUUGUGCUUGGAAAGGGAAGCUUCUGCGAAAUUAAAAGCUAAGUUUAGACGCGAUCGACAUUUUUUCUCUCAGCCUUGAAGAGUAACGAAUCAUGCAGUUCGAAGACAACCACCAGAAACUGCCGAAAACGUCUUAAACUUGAUAAAUCUGGUUAAAUCACAGUGUAAACCCGCAUAUUUUGUUCCAGUUUAUUGUAUCUUGUCCGUGUUUAGGAUUUUGUAGCUCUUCUAACAUAUAUUUUUUAACGUAAAAAUCGUUAUUUAGCUGUUUUUUUUGUUUGGACCUGGCAAAAAGAGCUCCAAGAACGCCAACGGCCAAUCAGAGAAGGCGGGCUAGUAGGCAAGAUCGAGACAGCAGCGCCCCUGCGACAGCCAGCGCAAUCAAGCGACAAGGUUGGUUCAUUGGUUGCUGGCAGUCACUGUGAUUCUGCCUGAUGCUCUUACGACACUUUUUGCUAGGCUUUCUGACCAAAAAACCGGCGAAGUAACUGGUUUUACGCUUCUGCCAAUUUUCGGCACGUCGUAGCGGAUAGUCUGACCUAAUUCAACCCUCAGGAAUCGAUUGGCAUUGGCAAAAAUGAAAUUCCAGAGACAGGGCUAUUUUAAAAUGGAAGAAAAACGCCGAAAAAGUUAGUUGCAGGAAGUGUAAAAUGUUUUUAAAAUAACUUGCCCUCUCAGGAAUAACAAAAAAUCACAAAUAAAAUAAGGACGGUUUCUCUAUAAUUUUUCUUAGAAAAAUAUUGUCUAUUAUAGUUUUAUUAACUCCGGAAACGAUUCAAAAACAUUUCAUUCAAAUAAAUAUAUAUUUUGCUACGGGAAAUUGUUGACGGUAUCAUUAAAAAGUGAAAUUUUCAGUUAUGCAACUCAAAUUCAUCGGUAACAAACAGUUUGCAUAAUAUUUAUUCCAGAUGAUCGAAGUUAUCCCACUUUAUUUAAAAAGCAUCUUUUUUGCCUCUUUAUAUUUAGUUGAAGCUAGAAAAAAGUAAUGAGAGUAGAUUAUUUUCGUUUCAUUCAGGAAACGAGGUGCUCGUCUCUUUUAUUUUCAGCAAAUCUUUUCUUUAACUCCAGAUGCUCAUCAUUUAAAAUGAUUGCAUAAGAGGUUGUCCAUUAUUUGCAAGUUGCACCUCUGCGCGAGUCAGUGCAAACAAUGAUGGAAGCCGCGGAGUGGAGGAGCAGCAGGCAGGCAGCGCACUCGGUGGCACCUGUGGCCGCCGCGAUUUACUCGAAACACAUCACAUCAUCGUGGCGGUGCCGCGCGCGGUUGCUGUGGGACGAGCGGCGCGCGCGAGAGGCCGCGAGACGGACCAUUGUCCAGCAUGCAAAAACCUCUGCGAUGGCGGUAGAUAGCAUGUUAAAAGAGCACCGCGGGCAGCCUUAUAUGUCUGAGACUUGCGACCGACCGACCGACCGACCGACCGACCUGGACCUGCCGAGCGAUUCCCACCGACUGCGGAGACUGGAGACUGGAGUUGGCCCGCUCGCUGCCGCUGCUUGCGUCUCGCGCGUCCACACCGUGGGAAUUUCGCCUCUCCGCUCCUGCUGCUGGCUGCAGGCGGCAAAAACACCAACGACCACCGCUCUCGGUACUCUGUUGUGCCUGCGUGCGAAUAAUGCGGCAUUUCACUGCCACCGAGCUGCACACAGUUUUUCAAUAAAAAUCAACCUUUCCAAGCCGGCUCGAUAUUUUUAAUGAGACUUGAAAAUCUGACUGUCCUUUUUGUUAUACCAAUCCCCCGGAAUGCGGCUGGAAAUCUCCCAUAUUGCACGCGAGAAGAAAAAUUGCGCAAAAGAGAGCCACUAUAGGGUUUCGUGCUCUCACCGCUUUAACAUUUUGUCCAUUAAAUUAUUGAUCUUAUAACAGGAAAUUAUUGCUCCAAAUUUGAUAAAAUUUGGUGGAGAACAAUUUUCAACAGAAUAUUACAUACAUACAAAUCAUUUUUGGCGUGUUUCCCACGGUUUUUGCGUCGAUUUUUUAAAAAAAAAAUUGCAGCAGGUGUUUUUUUCUUGUAUAUUUAGAGAUUUUCAAGCGGUCGUCAAAUUUAGUCGAUUUUUUACACAUCGCACGUAGAUAACUUGUAUUCUUAAGGUUAAUCACAUUUAAGGAGGUACUAAUAAAAAUUGGGAUUUAAAUUAUGAAAGACAAACAACACCCUAAAUUAAACUGUCUAUGAACUUCAAUUGAAUUGAUUUUAAUUUUUUUUCUGCCUUUGUCAUUAAUAAAUCGACCGUCUAAAUUUCACAGUUAAAAUGUCCUGAUUUCAAGUCCAAAUAUAUUUACAAUCCUGAACCAACGUUAUUAUUAAAAAAGAUUAGACAAUAAUAUUAUGCAACACGCCACUUCAUUCUUGGUGCCUUGCUGACUACGAUAGAUCCGUUAUGAAAUGAAACG